GUGAAUCAUCAAAUUUUUGAACGCAAAUUGCGCUUCCUGGCAUCCCGGGAAGUAUGCCUGUUUGAGGGUCAGUAGUAUUAAAAAUCCGGGUUAGUCACAAUUUGUUACGUUUCCGGGGUUUGGGCUAUCUUAACCUUUUUGGUUAAGAGGCUUAAAAUUGACCUUUUAUGCGCAUCUUUAAACUUA
rnacentral:misc_RNA from 1 species